UGAUUUAAUAUAACAAUUAGAUGGAUUAAGGGAUGAAGGUCAUUACGAAAAUAUAACUUAAAUCAUGGUUCAAAUGAACUUAGGAAUUGCACAAGUGAGUUUAAUCAAGCACAUUCAAGAUGAUAUUUCAAACAAACUCUAUUAUUCAGAAUAAUGAUUAAUUUUAAAUUAACGAGUAAAGCAUUCAAAUAAAAGUUGAUAAAAUAAAAAUGUUAUUUUUCGUAGCAAUAAUACCCUAAUAUAUAUUUUACAUGUAUCUAUAAAAAUGAAAUAAAGAAAUAAAUCAACAAGUAAGAAAUAAAAAGAAGGUGGGUUUAAAGUGAGAAAAGCCCAAGUCUGGGCGAAUUGCAUAACAGUAAAAGGGGGUCAAUUAGCCAAACAUCUUUGGGCCCAAAUCAAAGGAUCCACCUGAGCCCAAUCAAUCUGGUUGACUUCACAAAGACGCUCUUGACCAUCCGAUCCAUAGGUCUGACUUGGUCAAACGAAUUGGGCAUAUCUAAAGGAGGACCACGAUAAGGGACCAUGGAGCGUCCAUACUGGAAUGUCCGGUUGACCGCUAGUCAAUGGAGAUGAGGCAUGUCGCAAGGGCGACACUUGGCGUGCAUGCGCCAGGCCGAGCGUGGGUACUUAAACCCCGCUUCUGAGAACAAGAGUUCAUUUUGUGAACUCUAUUAUCUCUCCUCACUUCAGAGCUUCCUCUCGCUCUGCAAGUGCUUCACCUACGCCGAUGAGAAACCACCGGAGAAGACGGUGGUGGUCGGCCGCCGGCGGCAGCGCCACCUUCUUCUCCGGCCAAACACCAUAACGCAAUCACCAACCCAAUCUCAAAUUGGCCGAUGACCACGAAUCCGGCUUCAGAUUUAACAAAACAAUCUCUCUCCGACCAGAUCGACGUCCCCCAAAACAAAAACGUCAAACUUCACAAAACCUAAACCUCACAGUAUCGAACCUAUCCUCCACUCCUCCUAACCACGAAGCCGGAAUCAAAACCACAAUAAACACAAACCAAGGAUAAAACCCUAAUUCUGAAAUUAAAUCAACAACAACAAAGAUUUCAAGCAAUUAUCAAGGGGGUUUUUCUUUGUUUAUCAAAGAGAACACGAAGGUACCAUGAUUUUGAGAAAAAUACGAAGAGAUCUACCUAACCGGAGCUAGUCCGACGACGUUGUCUCCGACGACCUUCAGAUAAGUCUACUUCCUUCUGCUUUACGACGUCGUCUUCCUUCUUCUCUCUCAGCACCUUCUAGUGGUUAUUUUCUUUGUUUUUGUAUGUAUUCCUAUCGAGGUGAGGGGUUUAGCUCUGUUCCAAAGCGAGCUUCUACGUGAGGGCUCAGAAGGAAUCUUAGAGAAGCUUUGAGUGAGGUUCUCCGGAUUCUUGCAGCGUAACGGAUUGAUUUGUAACUGGAAGGCGUUUUUGUUGCAGCCUUGCUGUUGCGUUCUUCAUUGGAGCUUGGUCCUGCUACUUUUCACUGAGCCAUUGCCAUUCUUCCCUUUCCCUGUUUUCUGGAAGCCUCAUGCUCUUCCAGUAAUUACGUGCACCAACUAGAGGAUAUUAGGUCAUAACCUUCAGAAGAACAAGCAACCCUGCGAAACUUCUAUCCUCUAACGGGAGAGCGAGAGUUGUGGAGUCCAUGGCAACCAAACUCUACGCUAAUUGCAAUUCGAAGUACUUUAUUAAAUACAACAUGUCCUUUUGUAGUUGAAAAUGAUAAAUUUAAAUGUCUUGUUUAUGCUUUGUGAAUGGAUGGAAUGAAAUUAAUGGAACUUAGGAUUUGGGUUGUAAAGGUACAUGAGAAUACUGGCUUAGAGUUACGUGUUGAAUGUAUUUGGCUAAACACAUUGUAAUGAAUGAUACAUAGAAUACGAUGUAUAGGGUCUUCAAAAUGGUUUGGUUCAAAUUUUGUAAUUGGAAUUUGUUAAUGUAAAUGAGUGGAGUUUCUUA